rnacentral:rRNA from 1 species
UACGGAGGAUGCGAGCGUUAUCCGGAUUUAUUGGGUUUAAAGGGUGCGUAGGUGGCUGAUUAAGUCAGUGGUGAAAGUUUGUCGCUCAACGAUAAAAUUGCCAUUGAAACUGGUUAGCUUGAGUAUGUUUGAGGUAGGCGGAAUGCGUAGUGUAGCGGUGAAAUGCAUAGAUAUUACGCAGAACUCCAAUUGCGAAGGCAGCUUACUAAACCAUAACUGACACUGAUGCACGAAAGCGUGGGUAUCAAACAGG